AUAUAUUCGGAGAUAUGUACCGAGAUAUUCAAAUCAAGUAGCACCUCAACUCGAAAUGAAGUUCGUACUGGCUAUACUCUUUGUUGUAAUUGCAAGCUUCGGCGUGAGUGUCUGGGGUCAAAGUAAUUAUUGUGAUUUCAACGAAGACUGCAUAUCGCCUUGCAGGUAUAGCUGUAUAGUUAACACAACGCCGAUUUGUUAUAUGAAAAGUUGUUACUGUGCACCACCAUGAAGUUUCAAAAGCAAAUAACCAAACAUUCAGCUCGAAAUUUUCUACCAAUAAAAUCAAUAUGAAUGUCGAUUAUUUUAUUAAUUUUUGAAUAAAUUUAAUGAUGCAGUGAAAA